rnacentral:lncRNA from 1 species
UCAUUACCGGGAGUAGCUUCAUCACACCUUCACAUCUCAUGGUGGUCAUAUUUGACAAUGAUCCUAUAUGAAGUGCAGGACAAUGCUGUGCAGCCUUCUAUAAUCAUUAUAGAGAUGGAUGGCCAUAAAAAAAGAUGAUUUAUGAGCAUAUAUCAUGUUAUGGUACAUAUUAUUUGAUCAUUAUCCAUCUUUUGAUUGCGACUAACUAAAGCAUAUCAUAAUCCAUACAAUAUAUGAAAAGA